rnacentral:rRNA from 1 species
UACAGAGGGGGCAAGCGUUGUUCGGAAUUACUGGGCGUAAAGGGCGCGUAGGCGGCCUGUUAAGUCGAACGUGAAAUCCCCGGGCUCAACCCGGGAACUGCGUCCGAUACUGGCAGGCUUGAAUCCGGGAGAGGGAUGCGGAAUUCCAGGUGUAGCGGUGAAAUGCGUAGAUAUCUGGAGGAACACCGGUGGCGAAGGCGGCAUCCUGGACCGGCAUUGACGCCUGAGGCGUGAAAGCCAGGGAGCAAACGGG